rnacentral:misc_RNA from 1 species
GGAAGUAAAAGUCAUAACAAGGUUUCCGUAGGUGAACCUGCGGAAGGAUCAUUAAAGUUAUAGUCCCCCGGCCCUCUGGGCUGGGGUCUUCUAUACCACCCUUUGUUUAUUACACCUUUGUUGCUUUGGCAGGCCGGCCCUCGGGCUGCUGGCUCCGGCCGGCUCGCGUCUGCCAGAGGACCUAAACUCUGUUUGUAUAUGAAGUCUGAGUACUAUAUAAUAGUUAAAACUUUCAACAACGGAUCUCUUGGUUCUG